AUAACCCCCCACUAAUUUUUUUUUUAACUAUGUUAUAUUCUAAAAUUCAAAAGAAAUAAAAUUGUUCAUCUCAUGCCCUAAGUACAAUUUUCUCUCCCUCUCACUCCUCAGCGGAAGUGAAAAAUGAAGAAGCCACGGAUCGACGCCUGCAAUUGGUGAGGAGUGUAUCCGAUUGGGAGCGAAACGACGAAGCAGUUCAAGAGUGGGAGGGAAUUCAGUGAGAGACUGUGGCGAUUCGUUUGCCCGGGGUUGAGGGACAGGCGGACAGCGACGAGGCGUGGGCGAAUCCGGGUAAGGAUCAGAAGAUAUCGGGUUUGGGUUGCGGUCCGACAAUUUUAAUCGUCUUUGCAGCCGACCCACCAGAAACCCCUUGCAAUAUCUACAGUGUUUCAGAGCCCUCGAUUACACUUCAAUGUUUCUUUUGCCGUGUACAGGGGUCCUAGAAGAUUAAUUAGUUUCUUGAUACUUUGUUGGCUUGAAUAAGGCUUGCAGCUUUGGAUGUCUUAAAUUGAAGAUUGAAAAAAUUUAUAUCGAGAUUGGCAUGGGGUUAUCUAAAUGGAUAAUGGUUUUGUUGAACCUUAGUUGAAAGGAAGAUCCUGAACUCCAAUCCCACCUCUUGAAUCUUGAUGUCAUAUCUAACAGGCCUCCAACAAACAAGCUUGAUGGAGUACAUCCAAAAGUGCAUGUACCACUUAUGUUUGGGAAAAGGGCUAUAUGAGGAGUUGGAAUGGCUAUAAAACAACACUGCAAAAAGGUACAAAAGUUAUCAAAAUAUCAAAUUCUUGUAGUCAAGAUUGUAACCAAGUUUCUCACCAGAGAAAUUUGGAGAGUGCCAUCUGUUGCCGACAACCUACUCUAAUUUUCUUUUCUUUUGGAGAUAGUUGAUAGGAUUUAGAGCUAUUUUUCUAGCAGAUAAGAUAACAUCUAUUGGUUUAAUUCUUCUAGUUUAUUUAUCAUUUAUAAUUGUAACAGAAUUUGACUUGAUGUUUGAAAUGAUUAUAAUAUUAAUGUUUUAGGUAAA